UACGGAGGGGGCAAGCGUUGUUCGGAAUUACUGGGCGUAAAGGGCGCGUAGGCGGUUUGCUAAGUCGGAUGUGAAAACUCUGGGCUCAACCCAGAGCCUGCAUCCGAAACUGGCAGGCUAGAGUUCUGGAGGGGGUAGCGGAAUUCCUGGUGUAGCGGUGAAAUGCGUAGAUAUCAGGAGGAACACCGGUGGCGAAGGCGGCUACCUGGACAGAAACUGACGCUGAGGCGCGAAAGCUAGGGGAGCAAACAGG
rnacentral:rRNA from 1 species